GACGAACGCUGGCGGCGUGCUUAACACAUGCAAGUCGAACGGAAAGGCCCUGCUUUUGUGGGGUGCUAGAGUGGCGAACGGGUGAGUAACACGUGAGUAACCUGCCCUUGACUGUGGGAUAACUUCAGGAAACUGGGGCUAAUACAGGAGAGGAGCUCCUGCUGCAUGGGGGGGGUUGGAAAGUUUCGGCGGUUUGGGAUGGACUCGCGGCUUAUCAGCUUGUUGGGGGGGUAGUGGCUUACCAAGGCUUUGACGGGUAGCCGGCCUGGGAGGGUGACCGGCCACAUUGGGCCUGGGAUACGGCCCAGACUCCUACGGGAGGCAGCAGUGGGGAAUAUUGCCCAAUGGGCGGAGUCCUGAUGCAGCAACGCCGCGUGCGGGAUGACGGCCUUCGGGUUGUAAACCGCUUUCGCCUGUGACGAAGCGUGAGUGACUGUAAUGGGUAAAGAAGCACCGGCUACCUACUU
rnacentral:rRNA from 1 species